GGAAGUUCAGUGGGAGAGUGUCUGCUUUGCAUGCAGAAGAACCUAGGUUCAGUCCCUAGCAUCUCCA